rnacentral:lncRNA from 1 species
CCUUCGCGUCCUGCAGCGACGCCAUGGCGAGCCGGAUGGCGUGGUGGUGGUCGCGGGCGAUGGCGUGGCAGGAAGGAAGCGGUGCCGACGGGUCGUCCGCGCAGCCCCUGAGAGCGAGGGUCUCCGCCAACCCCAUGAGGGAGAUGGACUCCGAGAAGGACGUGGAAGCCAUCUCGACGUUGUACUGUAGGACGUGGACUUGGAGGAGAUCGCCGGCCGUGCCAAUCUGCAUCCGGGA